rnacentral:rRNA from 1 species
UACGUAGGGUGCGAGCGUUGUCCGGAAUUAUUGGGCGUAAAGAGCUCGUAGGCGGUGUGUCACGUCGGCCGUGAAAACCUGCAGCUUAACUGUGGGCGUGCGGUCGAUACGGGCAUCACUGGAGUUCGGCAGGGGAGACUGGAAUUCCUGGUGUAGCGGUGAAAUGCGCAGAUAUCAGGAGGAACACCGGUGGCGAAGGCGGGUCUC